rnacentral:rRNA from 1 species
UGCGUAGGCGGUUUGGUAAGUCAGAUGUGAAAUUCCUGGGCUCAACCGAGGAACUGCAUUUGAUACUGCCAGACUAGAGUACUGGAGAGGAGACUGGAAUUUACGGUGUAGCAGUGAAAUGCGUAGAUAUCGUAAGGAAGGCCAGUGGCGAAGGCGAGUCUCUGGACAGUAACUGACGCUGAGGCACGAAGGCCAGGGGAGCAAACG